rnacentral:rRNA from 1 species
CUCCGGUUGAUCCUGCCGGACCCGACUGCUAUCGGAUUGAGAUUUAGCCAUGCGAGUCGAACGUUCCCCUGUUGCGGGGAGCGUGGCGUACGGCUCAGUAACACGUAGUCAACCUGCCCUGGAGACAAGGACAACCCCGGGAAACUGGGAUUAAUCCUUGAUAGGUCAUCUCAUCUGGAAGGAGAGAUGGCUUAAAGGGGUACGCGGGCUUCUUCCGCGAAUUCGCUCCAGGAUGGGACUGCGUCCGAUCAGGCUGUUGGCGGGGUAAUGGCCCACCAAACCUGUAACCGGUACGGGCCUUGAGAGAGGUGGCCCGGAGAUGGACACUGAGAGAAGGGCCCAGGCCCUAUGGGGCGCAGCAGGCGCGAAACCUCUGCAAUAGGCGAAAGCCUGACAGGGUUACUCUGAGUGAUUUCCGCUAAGGGGAUCUUUUGGCACCUCUAAAAAUGGUGCAGAAUAAGGGGUGGGCAAGUCUGGUGUCAGCCGCCGCGGUAAUACCAGCACCCCGAGUGGUCGGGACGAUUAUUGGGCCUAAAGCAUCCGUAGCCGGUUCUGCAAGUCUUCCGUUAAAUCCAGCCGCUCAACGGAUGGGCCGCGGAGGAUACUACAGGACUAGGAGGCGGGAGAGGCAAGCGGUACUCAGUGGGUAGGGGUAAAAUCCUUUGAUCCAUUGAAGACCACCAGUGGCGAAGGCGGCUUGCCAGAACGCGCUCGACGGUGAGGGAUGAAAGCUGGGGGAGCAAACCGGAUUAGAUACCCGGGUAGUCCCAGCUGUAAACGAUGCAGACUCGGUGAUGGGCUAGCCUUGUGCCAGCCCAGUGCCGCAGGGAAGCCGUUAAGUCUGCCGCCUGGGGAGUACGGUCGCAAGACUGAAACUUAAAGGAAUUGGCGGGGGAGCA